CGUAAUGUUGCAGCUCAAAGCAGCUUUUCUAUCUCAGUUCAUUCUGACAUUCAGCUAUGAAUCAACACAGCAGAUGGUGAUCCAUGCUGUGGAAGUCUCACAUCUCCUGAUUUAAUGGAGCUGCUUUACACUUUUUACACUGUUUAUUCACCAACACUUUAUUUAAUAAAAGUCCCAUCUAGUUUUUAUGAGGAAUGUGAUGUUUUAAUUUCUCUGUGAAUAACUGCAGUCUAAUGUAACAGCUGGAGUUGUAACAUCUGUCCUGAUAUUGAUCAUGAAGUAUUGAUCAGAAUACUUAUGGUCAGCAGUCAUCCCUGAAGUUUUACAUUAAAAUCUUUACUUGUGUUGUGAACUUUGGUAAGAAGCAGAAACGUUAGCGUUGCCAUGGAUACAUGAGUGUUAAAUUCUGUCCAUGUUUCAUUUUGGGAAAUUCAAUCCAGUUCCAGAAUGUGGAGGAAUUUAGUCUCAAUCACAGACAACAAAUAUUAUCUGAAAGUCGGGUUAUUGUUGUUUAUCAGCACAAUACAAAAAGAUUAAUGUUAGAAAUAUUCCAGUUAAGACUCUAGAAUAUCAGGAUUUAUGUAAAUUUACCUCAAUAAUAUGAAUGUUCAGGUUAAGAUUGUGCAGUGAUAUUUAUUAUGUAAGUUUAGCUGAUUAAAGUUUAUGACUCUUCACUACAAUAUUAUUUAAAUUUACAUCAUUAUUAUAAUAUUUAAGGUCAGACUCUACAGUAUUGAGAUUAAGAAAUCAAAUAUUCUAUAAAAUGUAAAUACACUGAACUCAUUUGGAUAUAUUUAAGUGAGACUCUACAAUAUUAUUUGACACAAAUCUAUCUAAAUCAACAUUUUAAUCAUUUUUACUCCAAACAUUUACUAGACUGAUUUAAAUAUUAAAAUCAUUCCUUUCUAAUCCUCUGCUGUACGUUCAAAUCUGAGGCCUUAAAUAGAAACACACAAGUAUCUGAUUGAAGGAACUUCUGCAGAGUCCUGGUUCCAGAACAUGAUGAUAGAAUUAUAGACAAACUUUAACAAAAGCUGCCUGAGAGUUUACAGGUUUUUAUGUUAGAUUUCUUCAGUAAUUUAAUGAGAGUUAUCAGCAAUAAUCAAGUGUUCAUUUGAUGAACUUGAUUUCCUAAAACAUCCAGAAUUGGAGCUCAUAUCUUUGGCAGCUGUAAAGUUUCUGCUCCUUCAAAGUUCACAACACAAUGAAUGAAUUCCUAAAACACUCUCAAUGCUGGAGAACGUUUGUGAUGCUGAAGCAGUGACCAGUUUUUCUGUUUCUUCUCUGGAGAUGCACAAUGAGGGACGUCUGCAGAGACUGAGAAAGAGUCUCACCACAUCCUGACAUGAGGAAAAAGACUUCAUUGAAGACUACAAUGAGAAAAACUAUCAGACAGCAGACGGCUGCAUUCAAGUUUAGGCUGUUAGAUUGUUCCAGAUAAGACAAG
ensembl:lncRNA